rnacentral:rRNA from 1 species
AUGUUUGGUGCCAUAAUUACAGUCCUACGAAGUAUAGCGAAUGAUCGUUCGGUGACACAAUAUUCCCGUGGAGAUGCUGGAGGCGCCCUAAGGAUAAUUGUUUCUUUUGAUUUUGUGUUCAUUUUGCACCUCGUGGAGAGGAUUAUGAAAAUCACAGAUGUCUUGUGCCAAACACUCUAGAAGAAAUCUAUGGACAUUUUGAAUGCAUUAGAUACACUCUCUAACACUAAGGUGCUCCUCGCUGAUCUAAGAGAGGAAGGAUGGGAACCUCUCAUAGAGGAGGUUAAGACCUUUUGUGUGAAGCAUGAAGUUGAGAUCCCCGAUAUGAGUCGCAAGUAUGUUGAUGUGACUAUGUCUCGGAAUAAACAUAAUAACAUCACGGUGCUUCACCACUACAAAGCAGAUGUGUUCAAUGUGGCGAUAGAUCAACAACUGGUUGAGCUAAAUGACCGUUUUAGCGUUCAGAUAACAGAGCUAAUGACAUUCUGUGCAUCCUUGGAUCCAAGGCAUGACUCGUUUGACAUAUCAAAGAUUUGCAUGCUUGUGGACAAAUUCUAUCCAGCGGAUUUUUCUAGUCAAGAGCAGGCUCGCCUGGAGUCACAACUUCCACACUAUCAGUUAGAUGUUUGCAACCAUCCAGAAUUAUUGCGCUUGGUCAUCACUCUCCCGGUGUCAACUGCAACUGCGGAGAGAGCUUUUUCAGCAAUGAAGAUUAUCAAGACACGUCUCCGAAGUAAAAUGGGUGACGAUUUUCUUCGACCUUACAUGGUUGUAUACAUUGGGAAGGAAAUAGCUGCAAAGUUCAAUGUUAAUGAGAUUAUUGAUUUGUUUGAUUGA